AAAACAUCGCCUUUAGAAUCCUAUUAAAGGUAUUGCCUGCCCAGUGACUAUAUGUUCAACGGCCGUGGUAUUCUGACCACGCAAAGGUAGCGUAAUCACUUGUUUUUUAAAUAAAGACUAGUAUGAAUGGCUUCACGAGGAUCCAACUGUCUCCUUUGUCCAAUCAGUGAAACUGAUCCCCCCGUGCAGAAGCGGGGAUAUUACCAUAAGACGAGAAGACCCUAUGGAGCUUUAAACCUACAUCAACAAAUUUCUUUCUAUCUCUAAACUAACACUUAUUAAAUUUGCUUGAUUAAAGUUUUAGGUUGGGGCGACCAUGGAGAAAAAAUAAUCCUCCACGAUGAUCUCCUAACUAAGAACCACAAUUCUAAGUAUUAAGACUCUUAACUUAUAUUGACCCAUUUUAUGAUCAACGAACCAAGUUACCCUAGGGAUAACAGCGCAAUCCAUUUCAAGAGUCCAUAUCGACAAAUGGGUUUACGACCUCGAUGUUGGAUCAGGGCACCCAAGUGGUGCAACCGCUACUAAAGGUUCGUUUGUUCAACGAUUAAAGCCCUAC
rnacentral:rRNA from 1 species